rnacentral:rRNA from 1 species
AUUGAACGCUGGCGGCAUGCCUUACACAUGCAAGUCGAACGGUAACAGGUCUUCGGAUGCUGACGAGUGGCGAACGGGUGAGUAAUACAUCGGAACGUGCCCGAUCGUGGGGGAUAACGAAGCGAAAGCUUUGCUAAUACCGCAUAAGAUCUACGGAUGAAAGCAGGGGACCGCAAGGCCUUGCGCGAACGGAGCGGCCGAUGGUAGAUUAGGUAGUUGGUGGGAUAAAAGCUUACCACGCCGACGAUCUGUAGCUGGGCUGAGAGGACGACCAGCCACACUGGGACUGAGACACGGCCCAGCCUACUACGGGAGGCAGCAGUGGGGAAUAUUGGACAAUGGGCGAAAGCCUGAUCCAGCCAUGCCGCGUGCAGGAUGAAGGCCUUCGGGUUGUAAACUGCUUUUGUACGGAACGAAAAAACUCUUUCUAAUAAAGAGGGUCCAUGACGGUACCGUAAGAAUAAGCACCGGCUAACUACGUGCCAGCAGCCGCCGCCGUAA